rnacentral:lncRNA from 1 species
GUUUUCCUUCAGAGAUUAUUCACAGAUGUCCCACAGCCCAUAGCAAAUACAGGGCAUAUUAAGUUCAAAUAAAUAUAUGCAAAUAUGUGUGGAAAUGGCCUGUAGCCUGCAGGAGCCUGAGGAGAAGAGAGGAGCUAGCAGCCCCAGUCAAGUCUAGCGAAGUGCAUCUUGGCCUGCAGUGAUGGCUGUUUCCCCCAGAAAGUUCUUCCACUUCUGGAUCCCACCUCGACUGAACCUUACACAAUCUACUGCUGGACUUUCCAAUGGCAUGAGUUGUACAGGAUGCAAAUCACAGGCAGAUGAUUCCCAAAGACUCUUCUCCUCCGCCCAGAUCUUGAUGUCCUACCAUCCCCUGAAGUUGAUGUAUGUGGGGUUCUGAAAGGUCUCAACACGUGGCAGUAGGCAGCAGAAUUAAUUCCCUGUGCCUCCUGCAAUUCCCUGAGCCUCCCUUUCUCAAAACGCCAGCUUUCUCACAAGGAUAGCCUGAGACAUACGGAAGUGGGAAUGAUGUUCUGUUCUCAGGUGAAGUGUUUGUGCAUAUGUGUGUGUCGGGGGAGAGGAAGGUAAGCAAAACCAGUUGUUCUCAGAUGACUUGCAGCACCUGAGCAUGUCCUUUAUUUUAUCUUUUUUUUAAAAAAAAUACUUAAUAGCAUUUUCACUUCCUAGUUUCUCCAUUAUGUUGAAGUUGAAUAGUCUUUGGUAGGUCUUGUCUUACUUUUCAAGAACAUUAUGGGAAUUCUGCAAAAAGAUAGCUACAUGCAAAGCUAUCAUUUCUAUUGUUACAAAAAUAUGUGACACACUUACCUUAUGCUAUCAAAGAUGAAUGCUAUCCUCCACAUAUCCUUUAAAUGGGCUUCACAAGAAGAGGAUGGUCCCAUUUCUGAACAUUGCCUUGUCAAUGGAUGAGGAGGUUUGCACUCAGUCAAACUGGUUAAGCUAGAAUCAUAUUUCCCUAAAUCUCUUGUCCUGUUUAUUUCCAGGUGAUGAUUGGCCAAUAAAAUAAAUUUAGACGUGAUUUGGAUAGUAAAAAUGAAGCCACAGUCACUGAUCACUGAAGAUCAUUGUGGGUACAGGUGGGAGCUAAGAGCUAGCAAGGUAUCAGUGGGAUUUACAAGUCUUUUCUUUAUUCUUUAUCCUGCUCUUCUUGUCAAUUGCCAGAUUUCCUGACCAACAAAGGGCCCAGGCCGACUGCCACAAGUCUGAAUGCAGACCUGCAGAAGCAGCAGCAACUCAAAAGGACAGCAUUCCACAGACCUUCCCUGCACUGCCCUUCAUAGCCCACUCUGCAGCUGGACCUGCCUACUCGCCAUACACCCUGAAAGCUCCCACUUAUCCACCUAACCUCAACUUGCUCUAGUGUUCGAGGAGGGCUGAGUGGUGGUUUUCCUCGGGCCUUCCAACACUUGCCCUUCUCCCCCAAGUAUUACAAGCCCUCAUUCUAAAUAUAUCCCUGAUUUCAUAAUACUAAUAGAAGUGCUGCUUCUCUGAUUAAACCCUGACUGACACAUGGAGUGUUUUAUUACCAUUUAAUAAACAUCAUGUCAAACCUAAUGAUUUACGGUCAACAUAAAUUACACAGGGAAGGUGAGCAAAAGAAUCCCUUUCCUUUUUGCCUCUAUGCUGUUCUAGUUUCAGCUGGCCUGAGCUUCCCUCUCUUGGACUCUUCAGUCUAACAGCUAACCCAUAUAUGACACAAAGAUCAAAGGUCAGAUUCUUGGGCUCCAUUAAGGCUGCUACUUUAAAUGACAGCACUAUUUAUGGACUCUUUAUUGAAGACAGAUCACCCUUGGAGGCUGCCACAACCUUUACUCAUAAAUCAGACAUCAAGUGCCUCUUGGGGGCUAAAUACUGCCUCUCCUGUUGAAGACAUGAAGGGGUGUAACAUAUACUCAAUUUGCUGCCACACAAGGAUUUAGAAUCUGCUUACUCCCUCAACCUAGGACUCAAGGUCCAGACAAGGAAAUUUGAUUUUUUUUUUCUUCCUUUUUCUUUCCCUGCCAGCCACACACACCAG